rnacentral:lncRNA from 1 species
CCCCUUCCAUGGUGCAACAAGCACUAGAUCAUGGAGAAAGCACUUACAUGGUGGUAUAUACACUUGCUUGGUGGGAGGAACAUUUGCACCAUUGUGGAAGGUGCACUAGGCUGCAUUGUUGCUUAGUGUUCAACACAAUACACGGAUUGGAAAACAUCUGUUACAAACACGGAUUAUAUCACGUUAAUAUUCACUAUUAACAAAUAAAUUUGGUCCAAAAAAUUAAUCAAUCGAUCGAUCAUUUGACCAAAUCCGAAUCCAAAUCCCAUUUCCCAUUCACUCUAAUUUUAAGACUAUUUCAUCUUAAACAAAAACUCAACACAAAUAUCUAAACUGAACAUACAUUACGGUAAAUAAAAGGAAAUUAAAGAAGAAACUAAUGAAGAUUAAUACUGUUAAAGUUCUAAUUGGUUUUUGACUAUAAUUAACGAUUGAGAACUGUUUAGUUGGCACUACACUGAUCUUAAAGAAGUCUUUCGGAAGUGGGGUCAGGGCUUUCCAUAAAAGUUCACAUGUUAAACACUACUAAUAAUCACAUGCCUAUAAUUAGUAGUCGCUACACUGAUAUAAUGCUGCAAUUAGUGAACCAAAUCCAGCCACGUUUUCAAAUUGGUGAAUUGUCAAAAAAAAGGGCAAAGAAAAAUCAAAAUGUUUCCACGCGGGAUUGCUACACAAUUAGCCGGUCAAAUUCAAUAUUUACUUUAUAUAUAUAUAUAUAUAUAUAUAUAUUAAGCACGUUUAGGCAAGAAAAACAGAGAAUAUUCUAUUGUAUUAAAUAUUCAUGUGUGUUACAAAAUGACAAGGGUCCCCUUUAUAUAGGAGAGAGAAUUCCAACAUAGUACAUGUCUAAUAACAACGAGGAAAUGCUAUUGGUACAGCUGUAUAAUGACUCAAUACGUAUUUAUACUAUCUUUGCAGACCUGGUCAACUCUAACCACGUGUCCCUUGGGAGUUUUUCCGCCUUUCCAUGACGAUCAUCGAUUUGUACCGCUCAGAGAUUGACCACAGUGAACCUUCGAUAUGCUCCCUUGAGGGACGCACCUCGGGGUCAUGUAGGAUUGCAUAUAGGUGUUCGUAACACGCAGCGGAAGACAAUAACAAUCCUGGGAAGAUCUUUUCAUGUUUAAAAUUUAUUUACAUGCCAAAAAUCGGAUCUAAGACGUACCUGGUAAAAAAGUCUCGUUUCAAAAUUUCUUCGAUAGUGCGAAGACUCUAUGCAUAUCCACACCGAGGCUGAUCCUUGCUAUCAACUCUUUGAUCAAUGAAACCCGCAAACAAAUUGAAUAAAAAACUUACGCUGAAUUUUUUCUCAAAAACUUCAGCACAACAGUAAUAGGACAAGAAAAUAAUUUUCCUUGUCAAAAUAUCUGUCACGAUUGUGCGGUUCGUGGAUGCAUU